GCAUAGCUCAGUCAGUAGAGUAUGAGACUCUUAAUCUCAGAGUUGUGGGUUCAAGCCCCAUGUUGGGCA
rnacentral:tRNA from 1 species